AUGACCACAACCCGACCCUCAGCUCCUGCAGAGCGGAGCCCCGCAGCGGCACAUCCCGCCCCGAGCCCCGCACCGGGGGAUCCCCGAGCCCCGCAGCGGCACAUCCCGCCCCGAGCCCCGCACCGGGGGAUCCCGAGCCCCGCUAGAGCGCCGAGAUCGCGGCGGGACCUCCAGCCCAGCCAUGCCCUGCCCGGGGCCGCCCUUUCCCCGGCCCGCCCGCUGCCUUUACCUGCGGCGAGAGCGCCGGGCGGGCUCCGCUGCGCGGCGGCUCCCGGGCUGGGGCGCGGUGCCGAGCGGCGGCUCCCGGGACGGGGCGAAAGUGCCGGCACUGCGGCCGCGCUCACUGCGCGGGCGGCCCCGGCUGGCGAGCCCGGAGCGGCGCAGCGCCGCGCAUCCCCCGCGGGACGCGCCCGGGGCAGGCAGGAGGGCGGCGAGGCGAGGCAGGAGCCGGCCCGGCGCCCCGUCCCGUGCCGUGCCCUGGCUCGGCCGCAGCGGCUACCGCCUCAGAGGGGCGAGCCCGCCGUGCCCGGCGCCAGCUGCCUCCUCCCCCGCGCGGGCAUCGCCGAGCAGCGCGCCGCGGGUCCCGCUCCGCUCCAUCCAGCCGCCCGCCCCGAGCCGCCGCAGCUUUGUCACGCCGACAGCCCCCUCGGGUGGGAGGUCCUUCUCACCAGGGUUAAGUCUUUGCACUACUUCCAAGCAAAGCAGCCAAGAAAAAGAAGAAACAAACGCUACUACUACUGAGCACAGAGGCCUCCUUUGCAAGAAAUGUGAUUUAUGGAAUGAAGUUCCUGGCAUGUCUGCCGCCGGCUGUCACAACGUGUGCCUAAAAUCCAGGGCUGAAAUAUGAUCCCCACUCCUUCCAAGUUGCAUUGUGGCUUCUAGCAAGUUCUUCUGGAAGCACAGGCAGCUCUUUGCUCAGGAGCUGGGCUCCUCCUGUGUGUUGUCUCUCCGAGAGCUUUUUGGGGCUGAGGAUCCUCCUAAUUCCCUACAAAGCUGGUGUUGGUGAGCCCUGCUUUGCUGAAAGUUCCAUGUAGUUUGGAGAACCGAUGCACUUGGAGAGACACAGAGCAAAGUUCGUCCUGGUAUCCAGAAGAUACACAGGUUUGUGUUUGUCCUGGCUUUAGCUCUCCACAUUUGUACAUCAGAAACCAGAGUUCUGUGAGCUGAACCGUGGUGGAGACCUCUUUCCUUAUGCUCACAAGAUGGCAAGGAAGCAACAGCAUCCUGGGAGCUCUCUGGCCUUUGCUGGCCCUGUUGAGGUUGAAGGUGUUUUCAUUCUCUUUCUUUGGGUUUUCCUUUUCUUCUACAUGAAGGAAAUGCCUUUUCACCAUUAAGCCUUUUCUCAGCUGCGUUUCAAACCCAGAAAAUAUUUUACCUCUAGCAAAUUUUACCCCCUCAUCAUUUUUCUGCUGUCUUCAAAGCCAGUGAGACAGCAGCAUUUUUACCACCAUGAUCUGCCUCCACUUGCAGCAACAGAAACCCCACCACUGUAAGACCCUUUUUUGCCAGCCUUUUCCCAGCCCUUGCUCAGGUGAUCCCAUGGGAGACAUUCUUCUCUGGGACUGGAACUGAUGAGAGUGGAGGUCACCAGCUCCUGCUGGACUUCAUUAGUGAAAACACACUGUGGUUUUCGAUAAAACCCGUGAUUUUGGAUAAAACCCAGCGUAUCAGUUACACAGAGGAGUUACUAAUGUUCGUUAUCUGCUGAUGAACAGGUAUUUUUUAAGAGUGGGAGCGAACAAACCCACAAAACUUUCUGCAAAACAAAGCAGCCAACAGAACAAGUCAAACCAAGCCUGCCUGACCGUUGACUCUGUGCUUGCUUCAGCAGGUUUGGCUCUGGCCCCACUCGAGCCACAGAGUUUUGAAAUCCAUGCGUUUCUUCGUUCUCAUCUUUCAGCUUUGCAGUAGACAUUUUUUUCCCCCACAAACGUCUCUGAGGCCGUGUGGGAUGUGGUCCAGCUCCCAUUAAGGUCAGUGGGAGUGCUGCCACUGCUUCCCUGUGGGUCUCAGCCCUAUCCCAUUGUAUUACAUUUCUAACUGCAAUUGGAUACAGAUUAUUUCAAUUUUUUUCCUCUCCUAGUGCCCACAAUGGGCAAAGUAUUUUCCAAACAGAAAAGGUCCCACUGCAUGUCCCUAAAUCUCUAGAGGUACUGGAAAAAUUCUUCUAAUUAAAUACAUUUGACAUGCAAGAUCAUAACUGUUCUCUAAUAAUUUCUUUUAAAGACUUCUCUCUCAUGGAGCUUUUCUUAACUCUACAAUAGCAGGGAUUAAAUCCUGAUUCUGCUGAAGUUCAUGGGAGUUUUUCCUAUUAGCUUUGUUGGAACCAUAUUGUCUUGCUUCAUCUCCAUCUUUAACACUACUGUGCCACUACUGAAAAUGUUCUGACAGGAAUCAACAUAAAAAUGUCUGAUUUGAGUGACUGGGUUAAUCUUCAGAAAAAAAAAAUCAAGUUUCCCCCAGAGAGCAAACCAAUAAAUAGUAG
ensembl:lncRNA